rnacentral:rRNA from 1 species
ACGGAAGGCAGCAGUGGGGAAUAUUGCACAAUGGGCGAAAGCCUGAUGCAGCGACGCCGCGUGAGUGAUGAAGUAUUUCGGUAUGUAAAGCUCUAUCAGCAGGGAAGAAAAAAUGACUGUACCUGACUAAGAAGCCCCGGCUAAAUACGUGCCAGCAGCCGCGGUAAUACGUAUGGGGCAAGCGUUAUCCGGAUUUACUGGGUGUAAAGGGAGCGCAGGCGGCAAGGCAAGUCAGAAGUGAAAACCCGGGGCUCAACCCCGUGGAUUGCUUUUGAGACUGUUUAGCUGGAGUGCAGGAGGGGCAAGCGGAAUUCCUAGUGUAGCGGUGAAAUGCGUAGAUAUUAGGAAGAACACCGGUGGCGAAGGCGGCUUGCUGGACUGUAACUGACGCUGAGGCUCGAAGGCGUGGGGAGCAAACAGGAUUAGAUACCCUGGUA